rnacentral:lncRNA from 1 species
AUUAUUAUUAUAAUAUAAUGAUAAAAUAAUAGUGGUAAAAAAAAAAAAAUUAAUAAUAAUAAAUAAAGAAUAGGUGGGCAGAUUUUUUUACGGAACAAUAUAUAUAUCUCCCUUCAUCUUUAUCUUAUAUUUUUUUAACCAAAAAAAGACAAUCACAACACACAACAUCAACAUCUCUCACGUGAACCCAUCUUCCUCAAAUACUUCCAUAGCUCAAUUCUCAUCAUCUAUUCCACUUUUCUUUUCAUUUUCCUACUACUUUUCUUUUAACUUCAUCACAUAAUCAACAUUAUUGUCAAUUCAAGCUUAGAAAGAAUAUUGGGUG